rnacentral:rRNA from 1 species
CAGUCGCCGCGGUAAGACAGAGGAUGCAAGUGUUAUCCGGAAUGAUUGGGCGUAAAGCGUCUGUAGGUGGCUUUUCAAGUCUGUUGUCAAAUCCCAGGGCUCAACCCUGGACAGGCGGUGGAAACUACCAAGCUGGAGUACGGAAGGGGCAGAGGGAAUUUCCGGUGGAGCGGUGAAAUGCGUUGAGAUCGGAAAGAACACCAUUGGCGAAAGCACUCUACUGGGCCGACACUGACAUUAAGAGACGAAAGCUAGGGGAGCAAAUGGGAUUAGAUACCCCUGUAGUCCCUGUCUCUUAUAC